UCUAGCAAGGUGAAGCCAGGCAUUGAAACCGGAUGACAAAGGACUAUUUCAAGCUUCAUGAGGUCUCAUAGCCCUCUAGCUACCUCGAGCAUAUAUAUCACAACCUCCUUAGAAAUUCCACACUUUUAAUCUGGAUACUUGAGCACAACGUCUCCGAAGCAAGAAAUGCUGAUUCAAUCUAUCACUCUCUUGAAAUAAACAACACGGACGAGCUGCUGGAGGAAUCCUGAUAUGGCUUCAGAAAUGACUCCUCUCUCAUUUGCGCGUUGACAAGUGGGAGAUUCCAUGUAGGUAGAUUGAAAUACUACCUCUAAAAAACCCAGGGGCCAUGGAAGAGCAUUUGAGGGUAGAGCAUCAAUUUUGAUUCGUCUCUCUUUUCCUCUUUCACUUCAAUAAGAUAUUUCACUUGUGAAAUGAGCCGUGCAUAGAAUAUCUAUACAUGCCUGAUUAAGGAAGGGGGAGAUGGGGAAUUUAUACAUGAAUGGAUGAAACGUUGUCAGUGGAUUUAUUUAAUUAUAGAGAAGUGAAUUUUUAAUAUUUGACAAGUUGAUGCAUUUUCUAAUAUUUCUGAAUGACUACCACCAGUGAAGCUUAUCAUUGUCUUGGUCAUUGAGGCCCGAUGAAAAUCAACUAGAAUCAGAGGAAGGAAGUCUUUUCUGUCACAUAUGUAGCCUAAUUCAUUCUCUUUGUUUUUACUUCAUUUUGAUUUUAUUUAUUUGCUUAUAACAUGGUAAAUAGAUAAAUCCCUAGAACACAAGGAAGGCUAGCCAAAUACGUUUAUAAUCAAUCAAUGGGCAAAAUCAAUUUGGAGGCACCUGUUAUUUGUUCACAUAUAUCUUUGAGUGGCGUAUAUAAGAUCAAUGUUUCGACAUAUACUUAUCACAUUGAAGUGAGAUAAUGGGGUAAUGAAUGAAAAAAAGAGAUGAUUCAACGAUGGGGCUGAUCAGGAGCUGCAAUACACACAGUGAUACAGUGAAAUCCUUUGAAACUACACCAGCUCUCUUCUCAGAAAUAAGAAAAUAAGAAUCCAGAUGGUCCAGGGUCGCUGCGAAAUCUCGGUGGACU
rnacentral:sRNA from 1 species